AGCCACAGAUCACCCACCAAGAUCAGCCGGAAUCACCCAAGCAGAGCCCGCAGGGAGACCACGCAUCAUUUGCAUUCGAUACAAAGUUAACAGGCGCAGAGGAUCAGUCCCGCCAGGUCGCAGCUGCAGCUGGUGGACCGGAUGUCCUUCUACCCGACCAGGCCCUCUGGACAAUCCCUCACACACAAUAUGAAUAUAUAUUAAUAAACUUGGAACCCUUUUCUAAAAAACA